UACGUAGGGUGCAAGCGUUGUCCGGAAUUAUUGGGCGUAAAGAGCUCGUAGGCGGUUUGUUGCGUCGGCUGUGAAAUCCCGAGGCUCAACCUCGGGUCUGCAGUCGAUACGAGCAAACUAGAGUGUUGCAGGGGAGACUGGAAUUCCUGGUGUAGCGGCGAAAUGCGCAGAUAUCAGGAAGAACACCCGUGGCUAAGGCGGCUCUCUAGUACGGUACUGACGCUGAGACGCGAAAGCGUGGGUAGCAAACAGG
rnacentral:rRNA from 1 species